CCUGUCAUGUCAGAGCUGAAAAGCCAACCUGGGACCUCCUUUCACUUCUUGGAAUGGUGGCAAAGGGGGCUGCUUUCAGACGAGGUAAAUAUUCCUGAAUUAACACUGGAGCUGGCUACCAGGAAGAAGGCCACUUGAACAAGAUGUCAACUGCAAGCCCCGGUAAAAUAGUCAAAAAGGUAAAGUCAGUCAAAAUCCAUAAACAGGUAAAGACAUGGAUCUGACUUACUUUGUCCGUGCAAGAAGAAAAUCUACAAUGAAUUAAAGACUCAAAGACCCAAUUCAAGCACACCAGCAGGGACAUAUUUCAGAAGUAAAGAAUGAUGCCUCUCCAGAAAGAUCUCCAGAGAGCAUCUUGUUUCAUUAAUAAGAAUCAGCAGAAGCUUGGGAGUCCAGGAAGGCAAUCACAGAACCAGCUUCCUAAAGCACAGAACAGGAUGCAGAAGGUACUGAACUCACCUGCAGGUGCUGCAUACUCCAUCAGCCUGGGGCUGCCAGCACAGCAGUGAAAAGCUGCCAGCACCCAUUAUGUGGCAAGAGCAGAGGGAGGAAGAAGCUGUUCACAAGUGACAGCUGAGAACGCCUGGAGGUCUUCAGGUGGGAACACAUGACCCUCUUCAUGGAAAUUAACCAAAGAGAAAAACAGAAAGAACAGCAUGCAAUUGGAUGGGCAGGUAUUCCGUUCCACAAUAUUGACUCUGAACAUCAUCUUCUGAGGAGUCCUGGCUUAAUUCCUGAUGGGCUUUGGGGACCCAGAACAUGUCCUGAAAUUAUUUAUAGUUACUUUUAAAAUAAAAUAAUAAUAAAAUAAAAAAUACAUC